rnacentral:rRNA from 1 species
UGGGGAAUUUUGGACAAUGGGCGAAAGCCUGAUCCAGCAAUGCCGCGUGUGUGAAGAAGGCCUUCGGGUUGUAAAGCACUUUUGUCCGGAAAGAAAUCCUUGGCUCUAAUACAGUCGGGGGAUGACGGUACCGGAAGAAUAAGCACCGGCUAACUACGUGCCAGCAGCCGCGGUAAUACGUAGGGUGCAAGCGUUAAUCGGAAUUACUGGGCGUAAAGCGUGCGCAGGCGGUUUGCUAAGACCGAUGUGAAAUCCCCGGGCUCAACCUGGGAACUGCAUUGGUGGCUGGCAGGCUAGAGUAUGGCAGAGGGGGGUAGAAUUCCACGUGUAGCAGUGAAAUGCGUAGAGAUGUGGAGGAAUACCGAUGGCGAAGGCAGCCCCCUGGGCCAAUACUGACGCUCAUGCACGAAAGCGUGGGGGAGCAAACAGGAUUAGAUACCCUGGUAGUCCACGCCCUAAACGAUGUCAACUAGUUGUUGGGGAUUCAUUUCCUUAGUAACGUAGCUAACGCGUGAAGUUGACCGCCUGGGGAGUAA